UCUCUCGGUGUGGGUUCCCAUGGGUGGGAGCACACCCACCUAAGGAGGUCCAAAAUCCAAGUGGGGCCCAAAAUGGUGGACCCCACUCCGAUUUCAAUUAAAAUGAGCUCAGCAGCCUCCCCUGAUGCUACCAUUGCUUUUUUUUUCAUGUCAAAAAAUUGUCCCCUAAGGUAGCAAAAAGUGGGCAAGUGUGUAAAGGUGUGUAUCCUGCAGCCGACCGUAACCGGAAGUCAGGAUAUACACUUCCCGCAAAAUCUUAUACACACCGCGGGAGUCUGAAACCUUUGGCCAAUGACAUUGCUGCACUGAGGAAAACUACCGGAAGUUCACAACAAGAAGAAAACAACACGGAUUGAAGACAAAAAGACGACGGAGUGAUUGGAUUAUUUUGAAUAUUUUUACAUUUACCGACCUCUGCAUGCAGCAGAGCCAUUAUGUCCACAAGAAAGAGGAGGAAAAAGCCUAUAGAUGAUGCAAAGACACACAUCCUGUCCUGUACUGACAAGGUUGGGUUUAUGUCGAGAUACAUUGACGGUUACAAAGGAAGAGGAGUGUUUGCCACACCCCCCAAUGAACCAGGGGACUUCGUCUUGGAGUACAGGGGUAAACUCCUCACAAAGGAAGAAUGCGAGUCAAGACGAUACUCAGAGACUGAAAGCAAAUUUCUCUUUGGCUUUAAGUGGCAGAACCAUUGCUUAUGGUAAACAUGGAAAAAUGGAUGAUUUUUAUUGAUUAGAGAAAUUCCGAGUUAUCCCUGGAACAAGGGUUUAAUACUUGAUAAACUAAUUAAAGCACAAAUAUUAAAAUCUUUUGAAAAC